AGCAGCCGCGGUAAUUCCAGCUCCAAUAGCGUAUAUUAAAGUUGUUGCAGUUAAAAAGCUCGUAGUUGAAUUUCGGGAUCAGUUGGUCGGUCGUGCCUCGGUACGUACUGGUCAAAUUGAUUCCUACCUUCUGACGAACCACGAUGUCAUUAAUUUGGUGUCGUGGGAAAUCAGGACUGUUACUUUGAAAAAUUAGAGUGUUUAAAGCAGGCUCGCGCUUGAAUACAUUAGCAUGGAAUAAUGAAAUAGGACGUUUGAUUCUAUUUUGUUGGUUUCUAGGAUCGACGUAAUGAUUAAUAGGGAUAGUUGGGGGCAUUAGUAUUCAAUUGUCAGAGGUGAAAUUCUUGGAUUUAUUGAAGACUAACUACUGCGAAAGCAUUUGCCAAGGAUGUUUUCAUUAAUCAAGAACGAAAGUUAGGGGAUCGAAGACGAUCAGAUACCGUCGUAGUC
rnacentral:rRNA from 1 species